rnacentral:rRNA from 1 species
AUUGAACGCUGGCGGCAGGCCUAACACAUGCAAGUCGAGCGGAUGAAGAGAGCUUGCUCUCUGAUUUAGCGGCGGACGGGUGAGUAAUGCCUAGGAAUCUGCCUGGUAGUGGGGGAUAACGUUCCGAAAGGAACGCUAAUACCGCAUACGUCCUACGGGAGAAAGCAGGGGACCUUCGGGCCUUGCGCUAUCAGAUGAGCCUAGGUCGGAUGAGCUAGUUGGUGAGGUAAUGGCUCACCAAGGCUACAAUCAGUAACUGGUCUGAGAGGAUGAUCAGUCACACUGGAACUGAGACACGGUCCAGACUCCUACGGGAGGCAGCAGUGGGGAAUAUUGGACAAUGGGCGAAAGCCUGAUCCAGCCAUGCCGCGUGUGUGAAGAAGGUCUUCGGAUUGUAAAGCACUUUAAGUUGGGAGGAAGGGCAGUAAGUUAAUACCUUGCUGUUUUGACGUUACCGACAGAAUAAGCACCGGCUAACUUCGUGCCAGCCGCCGCAGUAAUAC